AGAAAAAGAGAGAGUUGAAGUCGAAGAGCCAAAAGUAAAAUACCACCCGACGUCAUCCUCGAGAUCGUUCCCGGCUCCGGUGACCUCACCAAGAAGCUCCUCGGCGCCGGCAAGUCUGUACUUGCCGUCGAGCUGGGCCUUUGCGUGGUUCUCGAGCUCCAGCGCUGGUUCUAGGGGACCCCUUACCAGAAUGGUUCGAAGGGUUUGGGAGAACCUACGUUGAGCGAGAUUGAGCAAACCUUCGACGAGAGGUGACACACAUUCCCGCUCGAUGAUCUGCUAAACCAGUUUUUCCGACCUUGCUCCGGGACGGUCGCGACAUUACUCAAUGCAAUUAAGAUAAGUGACCGCAUUAUUCUCUACCCUUUUUUUCUAUCACUAGACAAAAUUGUUUUUUUAAAUUGCUAUCUCACCUCAUUUCUCCUCUCUUCUUGGUGCCUAAGUUUUGAAGAGCUCUUCCCAUCUCGUCUUCUAAUGACAAAACAUGUUGUGUAUAUAUAAAAUAGAUGGCGUUCAGAGUGUGUUCAACAGUUGGUGAUUGUCUUAAUUUCGGCAUUCCCACUGGACAUCAUCACGCGAUGGGAGACAUGACUUUGAAGGAUGAGCCCCCAAAGGAAUAAUGUAGCUCUUUGUUUGCAUUGUUGCGGGCUGCCAAAGACAGCAUCAUGAGCAGAGAAGCAACACAAAAAUCUGGAGUUCCUCAAAUUAUCAAAUAGGACAUGGCUUUGAAUCUGGCUGAACAAUGGGUCAAUAAUAUGACCAAAGUUUCCAAGGACGAGCAAAUACAGGCAGAAUCCGAGGGUUGACCGUCUAGGUCAGUAUCGGCCAUCUUCUUAAUAUUCCCAUGUAAUAUUUCCCUAGAUGUUUGCAUUGUUAAGUCGAAUUCAAAUCUUCCUAUAGACUCGGUCUUGGUGCAAAGUUUUCAUGUCAAAUGAGACCUGGACCUUCGAAUGAUCCCGUGGAAAGGAAAUUGUAUGCUGACUUGCAGUCUGGAAAAAGAAAAUGCGAAAGAUGCUGAGGAGUCUGGCCUAACUGCUACAGAUCCAGGCGGUGAUAGUGGUAUCGAUGACUAGUUAGAAAGCAGAGCAUGUGCUUUUGCAAAGAAGAGAGUAAUUACUCCACCCGUCUCUUUAACAAUGAAGAAGAAACGGAGAUAAACACUUGAAAGGUUUAUUUUUUUGGUCGUCGAAAGGAAAACCUGGACUGUUUGAACAGGGUUAGUUCUUCCAUAAGAUUAUUCCCCUUGUUUGCUGAGAUGGAAAUACAAUAGGGAUUCUUCAUUUCCCUACUACUCCAUAAGAGAGGGCCACUUGUCCAUUGACUUUCCAAUGUGCUAGCCAAGUGAGGCUUGAUACAAUGGCUAAUCUAUUAUGUUGCUAGUUUUGAUUUUCUUA